GUUUACAUGAAAUUAUAUGUAAUUUAACCUGCUCACUGAUAUAAUUAAAGAGCCGCAGUAUUUUAACUGUGCAAAGGUAGCAUAAUAAUUAGUUUUUUAAUUGAAAGCUUGGAUGAAUGGUUGGACAAAGAAAUAGCUGUCUUUAAAAUUAUUCUAGAAUUUAACUUUUAAGUGAAAAGGCUUAAAUUUUUUAGAGGGACGAUAAGACCCUAUAAAAGUUUAUAUAUUGAUUAUUGAAUUCAAAUUAUUUAUAUUAAUUAUACUAAUUAAUUAUAUUUUAUUGGGGCGAUAAAUAAAUAAUUUAUAUUAACUGUUUAUGGUUAAAUACAAUUAUAAAUGAAAAUAUUAAUGAUCCUUAAUUAAAGAUUAAAAGAUUAAGUUACUUUAGGGAUAACAGCGUAAUUCUUUUUGAAAGUUCUUAUUAAAAAAAGAGUUUGCGACCUCGAUGUUGAAUUAAAAUGUCUAUUAGGCGCAGAAGUCUAAUAAGAGUGGUCUGUUCGACCUUUAAAAUUUUACAUGAUUUGAGUUCAAACCGGCGUGAGCCAGGUU
rnacentral:rRNA from 1 species